rnacentral:rRNA from 1 species
AGGCAGCAGUGGGGAAUAUUGGACAAUGGGCGAAAGCCUGAUCCAGCCAUGCCGCGUGUGUGAAGAAGGUCUUCGGAUUGUAAAGCACUUUAAGUUGGGAGGAAGGGCAGUAAGUUAAUACCUUGCUGUUUUGACGUUACCGACAGAAUAAGCACCGGCUAACUUCGUGCCAGCAGCCGCGGUAAUACGAAGGGUGCAAGCGUUAAUCGGAAUUACUGGGCGUAAAGCGCGCGUAGGUGGUUUUGUAAGUUGGAGGUGAAAUCCCCCGGGCUCAACCUGGGAACUGCCUCCAAAACUGCAUGACUAGAGUACGGUAGAGGGUGGUGGAAUUUCCCUGUGUAGCGGUGAAAUGCGUAGAUAUAGGAAGGAACACCAGUGGCGAAGGCGACCACCUGGACUGAUACUGACACUGAGGUGCGAAAGCGUGGGGAGCAAACAGGAUUAGAUACCCCUGGUAGUCCACGCCGUAAACGAUGUCAACUAGCCGUUGGGUUCCCUUGAGAACUUAGUGGCGCAGCUAACGCGAUAAGUUGACCGCCUGGGGAGUANCGGCCGCAAGGUUAAAACUCAAAUGAAUUGACGGGGGC